CCUCAGUAACGGCGAGUGAAGCGGCAAAAGCUCAAAUUUGAAAUCCUGCGGGAGUUGUAAUUUGAAGGUGUGACGGUUGACAGUCCCGGCCCCAAAGUCCCUUGGAACAGGGCGCCUUAGAGGGUGAGAGCCCCGUACGAGGCCGUGGCACUGUCUCUACGCUGUCGCUCCGACGAGUCGAGUUGUUUGGGAAUGCAGCUCAAAGUGGGUGGUAAAUUCCAUCUAAAGCUAAAUAUUGGCGAGAGACCGAUAGCGAACAAGUACAGUGAUGGAAAGAUGAAAAGCACUUUGAAAAGAGAGUGAAACAGUACGUGAAAUUGUUGAAAGGGAAGGGCUUGCAAGCAGACACGGUUUUCGGACCGGGCCAGCAUCGGUUGUUGGGGGUGGAUAAGGUGUAGGGAAUGUAGCUUGCUUCGGCAAGUAUUAUAUCCCUGCGAGAUACACCCACUGGCGACCGAGGCCUGC
rnacentral:rRNA from 1 species